rnacentral:rRNA from 1 species
CACUCCUGCGGGAGGCAGCAGUGGGGAAUUUUGGACAAUGGGCGAAAGCCUGAUCCAGCCAUGCCGCGUGCAGGAUGAAGGCCUUCGGGUUGUAAACUGCUUUUGUACGGAACGAAACGGCCUUUUCUAAUAAAGAGGGCUAAUGACAGUACCGUAAGAAUAAGCACCGGCUAACUACGUGCCAGCAGCCGCGGUAAUACGUAGGGUGCAAGCGUUAAUCGGAAUUACUGGGCGUAAAGCGUGCGCAGGCGGUUAUGUAAGACAGUUGUGAAAUCCCCGGGCUCAACCUGGGAACUGCAUCUGUGACUGCAUAGCUAGAGUACGGUAGAGGGGGAUGGAAUUCCGCGUGUAGCAGUGAAAUGCGUAGAUAUGCGGAGGAACACCGAUGGCGAAGGCAAUCCCCUGGACCUGUACUGACGCUCAUGCACGAAAGCGUGGGGAGCAAACAGGAUUAGAAACCCUGGUAGUCCCA